CCUUUUGUGCGGCCUCCACAUUCUCAGGACGUCCUUGCCAUGCCUUAAGCACAGAAUUCUGCAGGGCACGUGCGUACGAGAAGGAUACAUGCCAGGGGUUGGGGCUUUGGUUCAUUGCAUGAAGGUUGAGGGUUGCUUCUGCUUCAGAUUGUCCUCCUGACAAAAACUGAGAAGUAAACAGAGAAAAUAUCAAUUAGCCUAUGGGUCGAUGGUAACAAAUAUCAUGAGUAUUACGUUCUUUUAGUAAUAUUAUUGUAGUAAUAUUCAACAACACCAGAAGGUGAACAAACAAGUUGCACAGUUCGGUAUUGUUUGCAACAAUCUUACCAUGAUUCCUGGCACCGCAGGAGGAACUCUCCUUUUAAGCACUGUGAGGGUAGCCUUUGCAAUGGCUUCUGGAGUAGCCUUUUCCUUGUGUUCAGCCCCUGGGGUAACCAUGCUAGGCUUAAGAAGGAUUCCUUCGAACACCACAUUGUUUUCGGCCAAGUAAUAGAAUACUUCUGCCCAGACCUUCUCUGCAACUUCAAGUGUCCUUUCGAUUGGGUGAUCCCCGUCGAGAAGAAUCUCAGGCUCUACAAU
rnacentral:lncRNA from 1 species